rnacentral:rRNA from 1 species
UGAGGAAUAUUGGUCAAUGGGCGAGAGCCUGAACCAGCCAAGUAGCGUGCAGGAUGACGGCCCUAUGGGUUGUAAACUGCUUUUAUGUGGGGAUAAAGUGCGUGACGUGUCAUGCAUUGCAGGUACCACAUGAAUAAGGACCGGCUAAUUCCGUGCCAGCAGCCGCGGUAAUACGGAAGGUCCGGGCGUUAUCCGGAUUUAUUGGGUUUAAAGGGAGCGUAGGCUGUCUAUUAAGCGUGUUGUGAAAUUUACCGGCUCAACCGGUGGCUUGCAGCGCGAACUGGUCGACUUGAGUAUGCAGGAAGUAGGCGGAAUUCAUGGUGUAGCGGUGAAAUGCUUAGAUAUCAUGACGAACUCCGAUUGCGCAGGCAGCUUACUGUAGAAUAACUGACGCUGAUGCUCGAAAGUGCGGGUAUCAAACAGG